CGGUUAAAAAGCUCGUAGUUGGAUUUCGGUCGAGGGCGGCCGGUCCGCACUAUGUGCGUGUAUCUGGUUCGGUCUUGGCAUCCUCUUGGGGAUCGUUCGUGUGCUUGAUUGCAUGCGACGAAUUCAAGACUUUUACUUUGGGGAAAUUAGUGUGUUCACGCAAGCUAUCGCUUUGAAUACAUUAGCAUGGAAUAAUAAUAUAGGGCGUAAGUUCUAUCUGUUUGGUUCAUAGAAAAUACGCAAUGAUUAAUAGGGAUAAUGGGGGGCACUCGUAUUAACGCGUCAGAGGUGGAAUUCUUAGAUUGCGUUACGACGAACUACUGCGAAAGCAUUUGCCAAGGAUGUUUUCAUUGAUCAAGAACGAAAGUAUGGGGAUCGAAGACGAUUAGAUACCGUCGUAGUCUAUACCAUAAACUAUGCCAACUAGAGAU
rnacentral:rRNA from 1 species